UCAUUUAGUGUAAUAAACUUUAGCAUUAAUUGUGCAGGAGACUGUUCAUUUAAACUUUAUUGUGGUAACGUUAAAUGCUCGCUCGUUGUGCAAAGUUACGUUUGGAGAUUCAUGUUAACAGUCAUUGUUUAAUGAAAGGCACAUUGGACUACGGGUUAGUAUGUGUGACACUUGCAGCACUUUAACGUAAAUCUUUAACACCGUGUCAUAAAUAGACGUGACACGCGGUAACGGGUUUCUUUUCAGUUUAUGUCCUGACGUUAAUAGGACGGGAUAUUAUAAAUUAUGCCUUUCGAUUAUCGCGAAGCCUCGUCGCGUUUGGUUAAGCACAUGGUGGAUCAGUAUGCACGUCACUGUACCUACUGUACACCUGUGAGCGGCAUGACGAGACAAAAGACGCUAUCCAUCUGAAAAAGAAAAGCUGGCACUCGCAAAGGAGAUUGUGUUGUUGGAUUAUGGUCUCAUUUGGUCAAAAUGAGGGACAUGUACUGAGCAUUUUUCUUUUUUUUUUCUUUUUUUUUUUGAUGGGCCAUCACACAGUGGAUUUAUAAAAAUGAGACUACAGAACAUCAGACGGAAGCUUCAAUGGAGUUGACGUGAGAGGACAUCAUCAAUAAAGAAUGCCAUUGACCAAACCUUCAGUCAUCAAAGAAGAUGGAUACAGGUGGACAUCGAGUUUUCCAGACUUACCGAUAGGAAAGAAGACAUGUUUAUCAGGAAAUGGGAGGUGACAAUUAUUGAGAAACUCAGGGAAAUAGCAUCUUUAGAGAAGAAAAUGGACAUCAGACAUUCAUUGAAGAAAGCUGACAGUCAACAUAAUGAUCUUCUGCUGUGUGAAUUCUGUGUGAAGUCUCAGACCUGUGGGACUUGGUGGCGGCUGGUACCAGCGUGACCUCUUUGCUUACUAAAUGAUGAAAAGGUGUCUAAAAUCAGCUCAGCCACAGUUGGUUUCCAGCGGUUCUUCAGGACAUAGAGGCCACUAUGUAAUUGUCGCAAUGAAUGAUUCUCUUGCCUUUCCACUUGAUGUUGACAAUCUGACCUGUGCGGUAGAAAGACUUUUCAAAUUUACUAGCUAAGUAACCUUAAGUAUCCCUGCCAACUGUCUUCAGGUUUUUUUUUUGGUAUGAAUAUGAUCUACCCUUGUCCCAGUCCUCUUGCAAACGAUCCAAGCCAAUGGAGUUUCAAAAUGGACCGAAAAUUGCAGUCUGUUUUAACCAAUGCAUGCACUGUGUGGCGGUUUCCCGGACAGGGAUUAGACUAGUCCUAGACUAAAACAUUUUUAAGAGCUGUCCAAACUGAAAACAACUUGCACUGACAUAUCUUAAAAUACAUCAGUGCCCUUUGUUUUGCCUCAAAAUGCACACAGGUAAUGUUUUUAGUAAGGCAUGUUUGUUAAAACCAGAUAUAUUUCCUAAUUUAUCUAAGGCCUAGUCCUGGAUUAAGAUAAUCCCUGUCCGGGAAACCGCCCCUAAAUAUUUUGUGAUGGAAAUUUCUUUGAAUCCACUUGUCAAGUUCAUUUGAAGUAUUUUUCUUAAUGUAAAAUAACGUGUUAAUGUUUCAGGACAAGGUAAGAAUUUUUGAUAACUUGUAUGUUGAAAACGAUUUCAGACAUUGUUUCAACAUGUUUAACACAUGUGCUUUUAAAUUCAAUGAAUUAUUUUAUAAAUGGUGUUUUUUUUAUGUAUGAAUGUAAUGUAUGUUUGAAGUGAUUAUACUUUCACUUAAAUUUAUUUAAAUUAGCAUAC